rnacentral:tRNA from 1 species
GCCGAAGUGGUGGAAUUGGUAGACACGCUAGGUUCAGGGUCUAGUGGGGGUCCCCCCGUGGGAGUUCAAGUCUCCCCUUCGGCACCA